rnacentral:lncRNA from 1 species
AUGAUAUUUGUUAUUCAUUUAAAAACAACAUUUUAUCACGAUGGACAAAAAGAACCAAUCAAUAAUCAAUAAGCUGAUCCAUGUGUGGCGAAACAUGAGUAACCCAUUGGUGGUUUUUAUGGCUCUCAUCUCCCACCUAAAUCACACUUAAUACCCUCUUAACACCAACCCAUUUCCUUAAUUCCCGAGACAUGUGAAUGCUUUAAUAACCAAAACCUCCACAACCAUUAUACAUAUCUUGUUCUACACCCUCACAACACCCCUCACGAACACACCUACUGUUUAAACAACCAAGAAACAUCCCGUUUGAAGUUCUCCGGAACCGUUCUGUCACUCUCGAAAACUCUCACCCACUCCCUCGUUAAUUUACGGCUGCCAGAGAUCGGAGUUCCAGAAACCUUGAGUCGCCGGAACCUUCAAGACUUCGCCGGAGAACGGAGAAGACGACCGGAGACCCACGACGUUCGUUUACGUGUUCGUGUGUUCGACAUUGGAGACCUUCGCUGGAACUGGGUUCGCAUCGGGCUUAACUGUUUGGCCACGUUUCGCGUCUGUCUCUUUUCCACUCAAUAAACGUUGCACCUACAAGACGAAGCCAAGGCCGGAACUCAUACCAUCGGUGUAGACUCACUCGCUUUGUGUUCGGUUGAGGAUGAUGAUGCUAUGAAAUGAAGUAGCGUUGAUGCCUAGAAACACAUAUAGACGUUUAGGUUUAAUCGUUGUAUCAAUUAUGAUUAUGUUGUAUUGUAUUUCCCUUGAACUUGAUGUUAUUUGAUUUCCUUGUAAUGUUGACAAAUGAAUUAUGAAAUGAAAUCGGU